rnacentral:rRNA from 1 species
AAUAUUGGACAAUGGGGGCAACCCUGAUCCAGCGAUGCCGCGUGAGUGAAGAAGGCUUUCGGGUUGUAAAGCUCUUUCGCGGGGGAAGAAACAACGGGGACUAAUACGCCCCGUGAAUGACGGUACCCCGACAAGAAGCACCGGCUAACUUCGUGCCAGCAGCCGCGGUAAUACGGGGGGUGCAAGCGUUAAUCGGAAUUACUGGGCGUAAAGCGUGCGUAGGCGGCCGUUCAAGUCAGAUGUGAAAGCCCCGGGCUCAACCCGGGAACUGCGUUUGAAACUGGACGGCUCGAGUUCGGCAGAGGAAGGUGGAAUUCCGCGUGUAGCGGUGAAAUGCGUAGAGAUGCGGAAGAACACUAAUGGCGAAGGCAUCCUUCUGGGCCGACACUGACGCUGAGUCACGAAAGCGUGGGGAGCAAACAGGAUUAGAUACCCUGGUAGUCCACGCCCUA